GGAUGAAGAAAGCAAUAGACUAACCUGGAUCCAUGCUUGCUAAAUUUCCAAGAGGAUUUUUGUGGGAGAAGUGGAGCUGCUAGUGGAACGACGCAGAUCUUUGGAGGCAGCCUGUGAGACUGCUGGAAAGGACAGAGGAAUGCUUGCCUCUACCACAUAACAUCUUCUGGUGGAUGGGUAGCAUCUUUGAAUAAGGAACCAAAGAAUUUGCAAGGAUUGGUAAAAGAUUUUCAAAGAAAAUUUUGAAGGAAAGCUGCUGUAAAUCAGUGGAGUCUCAGUCUUGAAACACAGAGAUGGAAGUAACAUAGCAGAUUUCUGCAUCUACACAUCUUAUGUAAAAGCUAUGAAAGAACAAGCAAUUGUGAGCAAGAGGCUGGUGAAAUUUGAGGAUUCAGUCGAACUCUGAGACUGCAGAGCGCUGGCGGCUGAGUUAAAGAUUGGAGGUUUUCUUAAAGCUGAGUAAGACCAAACCUUGUCUAGGAAACUCCUGCUGGUUGACCUCAGUGUCCUUCAUGGGUCUGCUGGGCACAGACUAACGCUGCAGAACCUUCCUCUGAACAGCAGGCCUGAAUCUCUUUAUUCCAAGGUUCACUUGGCACAGCAGGCAGGCAGGGCUGGAACUGCCUGUUUCUCAGGCUGCUUUGACUCAUGCGUGGGGGCAGCUGUGGUGGGAUCAGAUGGCUCUGUGCCACGUAUGGACUAGUGCAGUGUGGAGACGUCCUGUGCCACACUGCGUUGUCCUGUGCCACACUGUUGUCCUGUGCCACACUGCGUUGUCCUGUGCCACGCUGCAUUCCUGCUGCAUCCUCCGUGCCGGCACUGGAGGGAUGUGAUGAGGGUAAUAGUAGGGUAAAAGAGCUUUUUACAAGUCAGUAUUAUUCUCCAGCCUGUUUGAGCCUUCCAGGCAAAAUGCCAAGGGAAGAGAAUUAAGUCUGGUGCUUGUCUGUGAAUUUAGCUCAGGAAUUACUUGUGAAGGGAACCUCACUACCGCUGACCUAUUAUGGUGCACAUGGGAAGUUGACACCUUAGAGAAUUCAUUGACCAGCCUGUUUGUUGCAGACUGUUUCAUUCAUGAGCUAUUGAGAGACUGAAAUGGCUUUUAAAACAAAGAUUAUUGAGUAAUAAGCUGGAAGUCGUUCAUGACUGGGACAUAUCUGGCAGUUCUGCCAUGACACUGAAGUUAGAAAUCAUGACACUUCAAGAGCCUGAAAAUCAUAAGUAUUUCUUAGCUAUAUGUGCAUAUUUGGCUAAUGAAUAACAUUCUUUGGGGUUACUUAAAAGUAGCAAUAAACUGUUUUUGAUACUAGAUGAACAUCUAGUACUUUCCACAGAGGACUCAGACUCCAAGCCACAGCUGCUGUAAAGGGAAGAGGGCCAGAUUCACUGUGGGUCUUCAGUAACUCUGCUUGGAGAAAAUCACUGUGACUUUGAGAACACAGUGAUUACUACACUUCAUAAUAUUUGAAGACUUCUAAAAUGUCUUGUUGGUAACAGCUGGAGACCUCAAACCAGUAUGUGGGGCACUGCCAACUUUUUUAUAAAUGUUGCUGUCUGAACAUAUUUACCAGGUAAGUAAUUCAGCCUUAUGUCUGAAUGCAGGAAUUUACUAAUCACAGAUUAACUCUAAUGGAGGUAUGUACUAUUUUCCAUUCAUUAUAUCAAUUCACUAUAUCCUUUGGAUUACUGAUGGUCUCAGUAGAAGUAGAUCUGAACAUACCCUGGCUGUAUAUUCCCUCUGAGGUAUUAGGGCUGCUGUGUGCUGAGCUAGCUGUGACUUUAAGUGAUGUUAAUUUAACAACCUGAGUAUUGCAUUUGAGCAGGCUUUCCAUUCUUGUACACCCUCAGUUCCUUAUGUUUCACUGAAAUCAGUUAAAUCAAAUUAUUUUUU